UACAGGGGGUGCAAGCGUUGCUCGGAAUUACUGGGCGUAAAGCGUGCGCAGGCGGCGCAUUAAGUCGGACGUGAAAGCCCGGGGCUCAACCCCGGAAAUGCGUUCGAAACUGGUGCGCUUGAGUGCGGGAGAGGGGAGCGGAAUUCCUGGUGUAGAGGUGAAAUUCGUAGAUAUCAGGAGGAACACCAGUGGCGAAAGCGGCUCCCUGGCCCGAUACUGACGCUCAUGCACGAAAGCGUGGGGAGCAAACAGG
rnacentral:rRNA from 1 species